GUUAGGGUGAGGGUGAGGGUUCCUGCCCUCGGAGGUUCCGGUCGGGAGUCGUCGACCGCCACACCCAGAGCCGACCUCCUGUGGAGCCAGCGGCCGCACCAGGUGAGUUAAUGGCUUCUAGACCUCGUUAAGACUGGGGCUCGACCUCAGAGUCCUUCGUUAAGACGUCCUAAAGACGCCUUCGUUAAGCCUGGGGCUCGACCUCAGAGUCCUUCGUUAAGACGUCCUAAAGACGCCUUCGUUAAGCCUGGGGCUCGACCUCAGAGUCCUUCGUUAAGACGUCCUAAAGACGCCUUCGUUAAGCCUGGGGCUCGACCUCAGAGUCCUUCGUUAAGACUUCCUAAAGACGCCUUCGUUAAGACGGUUUGACGUCAGACGUUCCUGGGACGUUCAUGAGGCUGAGAACGAGGCAGCCUGGGUUCAGACCCUUUGGCAGAAAGAGAAAAACGUUUAACGCUAUGUUGUUACCAAUGAUGGAUGGAUUCGGAAGGGGAAAUGUGUAAGUGAGUGUGUUACCACUGUGUUAUCAUUCAUGACUCUCCUCUUCAAGGCUCAAGGCUCAAAGAUUCUAGUUCACUACCAGGUCUAGGCUCCUAGUUAGGAGCCUUGACCGGGUAGUGAACUAGUAGGCUCCUAGUUAGGAGCCUAGGCCUAGUAGUGAACUAGUAGGCUCCUAGUGAGGAGCCUAGGCCUAGUAGUGAACGAGUAGGCUCCUAGUGAGGAGCCUAGGCCUAGUAGUGAACUAGUAGGCUCCUAGUGAGGAGCCUAGGCCUAGUAGUGAACUAGUAGGCUCCUAGUUAGGAGCCUAGGCCUAGUAGUGAACUAGUAGGCUCCUAGUGAGGAGCCUAGGCCUAGUAGUGAACUAGUAGGCUCCUAGUGAGGAGGCCUAGUAGUGAACUAGUAGGCUCCUAGUGAGGAGCCUAGGCCUAGUAGUGAACUAGUAGGCUCCUAGUGAGGAGCCUAGGCCUAGUAGUGAACUAGUAGGCUCCUAGUGAGGAGCCUAGGCCUAGUAGUGAACUAGUAGGCUCCUAGUUAGGAGCCUAGGCCGGGUAGUGAAGGCUCCUCUCUGGCAGCAGAGGGAGGCCUGAGGAGGACCCGGCCUCCUUCAGGCCUCCCUCCCUUCAGCAUAAAGGAGUCUGUGUCUCCUUAGGAGCAGGGAGCCUUAACACCCACAUUAGGCUGCUUAAUGUCCCCCACCACACCCUGUGUGUGUGCGUGUGUGUGCGUGUCCACACACACUGAAACCUCCUCGUGUUGACAGCGCCAUAAAGCCUUAUCUGCUGGCCUUUGGCCCCAGAGGCCCUCGUAAACCCAGAGCAGGAAACGGGUCAAAGUCAGGGCUGCUCUGACACUUAUCUCAGGCUCAAAGUGCACCUUAUUUAUGCUUUUAUUGAGUUUUGAUUUCUCUUAUCCCCCCCCCCCCUCUCUCUCUCUCUCUCUCUCUCUCUCUCUCUCUCUCUCUCUCUCUCUCUCUCUUCAUUCAUUCCAGAAGUCUCUGAAGCUGGAGCCCCUCCCCCCCCAACCAGGACUGAGGGAGGAAGCCACGGUACACAGUGUCUGUUGUAACGUCAAGCAAGCUCGUACUUUCAGAGUAAAUGUACUUAAAUGAUGUCAUGUGAGUAGUGUUUGUAGUAACGUCAGAGUAGCUCGUAUUUUCAAAGUAAAAGUCACGGCGCGGCUCCAUGUGGGGGGGGGGGGGGUGUUGGAGGCCCAUGGCGCUCACUGCCUGUAACAGCAACUCCAUGUGGAAGCUCCUCCUUCCAGUGGAAGUGCUGCUACGUGCAGGGGGCGCCGCACUCACCUGGGGGCCCGGGGGCCCCUUCCUGUCGGCCCUCUGUGCUGAUUGGUCCGUUAUCUGCAGAUGACCUCAUCUGGAGAUGAUCCUCUGUGGCGGGAAAGGAGUGAGUGACACAACAGUGAGUGUUUGAGUGACGGCGUGUUUGAGUGACAGUGUGUUUGAGUGACAGUGUGUUUGAGUGACAGCGUGUGUUUGAGUGACAGACAGCGUGUGUUUGAGUGACAGCGUGUUUGAGUGACAUUGUGUGUUUGAGUGACAGUGCGUGUUUGAGUGACAGCAUGUGUUUGAGUGACAGCUUGUCGGGGCGCAGGGUGAUGACCUAUGAAUUGACAGCCAGUCGUCCUCAAGUUGCCUGUCAGUUUUAUAGGCCACUGCUGUGUAGGACCCCACUAACGACCGGUCGCCACGGCGAUCCCCAGGAGCCAAUCACGACGGGCGUCCAUCUUGAUGCAGUCACGAGUAAAAACAGUUUGAACUUGUACUGAUAUUAUACUGGUUCUACUGGAGUCUCUGUACAGUGUACUGAUAUUACACUGGUUCUACUGGAGUCUCUGUACAGUGUACUGAUAUUAUACUGGUUCUACUGGAGUCUCUGUACAGUGUACUGAUAUUAUACUGGUUCUACUGGAGUCUCUGUACAGUGUACUGAUAUUAUACUGGUUCUACUGGAGUCUCUGUACAGUGUACUGAUAUUAUACUGGUUCUACUGGAGUCUCUGUACAGUGUACUGAUAUUACACUGGUUCUACUGGAGUCUCUGUACAGUGUACUGAUAUUACACUGGUUCUACUGGAGUCUCUGUACAGUGUACUGAUAUUAUACUGGUUCUACUGGAGUCUCUGUACAGUGUACUGAUAUUAUACUGGUUCUACUGGAGUCUCUGUACAGUGUACUGAUAUUAUACUGGUUCUACUGGAGUCUCUGUACAGUGUACUGAUAUUAUACUGGUUCUACUGGAGUCUCUGUACAGUGUACUGAUAUUAUACUGGUUCUACUGGAGUCUCUGUACAGUGUACUGAUAUUACACUGGUUCUACUGGAGUCUCUGUACAGUGUACUGAUAUUAUACUGGUUCUACUGGAGUCUCUGUACAGUGUACUGAUAUUAUACUGGUUCUACUGGAGUCUCUGUACAGUGUACUGAUAUUAUACUGGUUCUACUGGAGUCUCUGUACAGUGUACUGAUAUUAUACUGGUUCUACUGGAGUCUCUGUACAGUGUACUGAUAUUAUACUGGUUCUACUGGAGUCUCUGUACAGUGUACUGUAUCUAAUAUUGUACUGGUUGUUAUAUUAUUAUAUGUUCUAUUGUACUACGGUCUAUGCUGCUGAAAUAAAGUAAAACAAGGCGG